rnacentral:rRNA from 1 species
AGUGAACGCUGGCGGUAGACCUAACACAUGCAAGUCGAACGGCAGCACAGAGGAGCUUGCUCCUUGGGUGGCGAGUGGCGGACGGGUGAGGAAUACAUCGGAAUCUACUCUGCCGUGGGGGAUAACGUAGGGAAACUUACGCUAAUACCGCAUACGACCUACGGGUGAAAGCAGGGGAUCUUCGGACCUUGCGCGAUUGAAUGAGCCGAUGCCGGAUUAGCUAGUUGGCGGGGUAAAGGCCCACCAAGGCGACGAUCCGUAGCUGGUCUGAGAGGAUGAUCAGCCACACUGGAACUGAGACACGGUCCAGACUCCUACGGGAGGCAGCAGUGGGGAAUAUUGGACAAUGGGCGCAAGCCUGAUCCAGCCAUACCGCGUGGGUGAAGAAGGCCUUCGGGUUGUAAAGCCCUUUUGUUGGGAAAGAAAUCCAUCUGGUUAAUACCCGGGUGGGAUGACGGUACCCAAAGAAUAAGCACCGGCUAACUCCGUGCCAGCCGCCGCGGUAA